rnacentral:rRNA from 1 species
UUUAAUUCGUUGCUACACGAAGAACCUUACCUGGGUUUGACAUAUAGGUUGUAGGGAAACUGAAAAGGGACCGACCCUUCGGGGAGCCUAUACAGGUGUUGCAUGGCUGUCGUCAGCUCGUGUCGUGAGAUGUUCGGUUAAGUCCGCUAACGAGCGCAACCCUCGUCGUAUGUUAUAUGUGUCAUACGAGACUGCCGGUAAAAGCCGGAGGAAGGUGAGGAUGAUGUCAAGUCAGCAUGACCUUUAUAUCCAGGGCUACACACACGCUACAAUGGUCUGUACAAUGGGUAGCCAAGCCGCGAGGCGGAGCCAAUCCUGAAAGCAGGCCUCAGUUCAGAUUGCAGUCUGCAACUCGACUGCAUGAAGCCGGAGUUGCUAGUAACCGCAGGUCAGCAAUACUGCGGUGAAUACGUUCCCGGGUCUU